rnacentral:rRNA from 1 species
AUACGGAGGGGGCUAGCAUUGUUCGGAAUUACUGGGCGUAAAGCGCGCGUAGGCGGCUUGCCAAGUUGGGGGUGAAAUCCCAGGGCUCAACCCUGGAACUGCCCUCAAAACUGGUUCGCUAGAGUCCGGGAGAGGUGAGUGGAAUUCCCAGUGUAGAGGUGAAAUUCGUAGAUAUUGGGAAGAACACCAGUGGCGAAGGCGGCUCACUGGACCGGUACUGACGCUGAGGCGCGAAAGCGUGGGGAGCAAACAGGAUUAGAAACCCCAGUAGUCC